AGCGAACGCUGGCGGCAGGCCUAAUACAUGCAAGUCGAGCGCACCUUCGGGUGAGCGGCGGACGGGUGAGUAACGCGUGGGAACGUGCCCUUUGGUACGGGAUAACUGAGGGAAACUUCAGCUAAUACCGUAUGUGCCCUACGGGGGAAAGGUUUAUCGCCAUUGGAGCGGCCCGCGUUGGCUUAGGUAGUUGGUGAGGUAAAGGCUCACCAAGCCUACGAUCCAUAGCUUGUCUGAGAGGAUGAUCAGCCACACUGGGACUGAGACACGGCCCUGACUCCUACGGGAGGCAGCAGUAGUGAAUCUUGCGCAAAGGGCGAAAGCCUGACGCAGCCAUGCCGCGUGUAUGAUGAAGGUCUUAGGAUUGUAAAAUACUUUCACCGGGGAAGAUAAUGACGGUACCCGGAGAAGAAGCCCCGGCUAACUUCGUGCCAGCCGCCGCCGUAAGAC
rnacentral:rRNA from 1 species